UCCCAGUUAACUCAGUCGGUAGAGCGCUCCAUUGUAAAUGGAGAUGUCCCUGGUUGGAUACCAGGUCCGGGAG
rfam:Ixodes scapularis strain Wikel colony gcontig_1108378949886, whole genome shotgun sequence.